rnacentral:rRNA from 1 species
AACGAACGCUGGCGGCAUGCCUAACACAUGCAAGUCGAACGAAGUCUCCGGACUUAGUGGCGCACGGGUGCGUAACGCGUGGGAAUCUGCCCUUGGGUACGGAAUAACUCAGAGAAAUUUGUGCUAAUACCGUAUAAUGUCUUCGGACCAAAGAUUUAUCGCCCAAGGAUGAGCCCGCGUAAGAUUAGCUAGUUGGUGGGGUAAAAGCCUACCAAGGCGACGAUCUUUAGCUGGUCUGAGGGGAUGAUCAGCCACGCUGGGACUGAGACACGGCCCAGACUCCUACGGGAGGGAGCAGUGGAGAAUAUUGGGCGCUGGACGCAGGCGUGGUCCAGCAAUGCCGCGUGAGUGAGGAAGGCCCUAGGGUUGUAAAGCUCUUUUAGCAGAGAUGAUAAUGACAGUACCUGGAGAAUAAGCGCCGGCUAACUCCGUG